UCUCUUCCUGGCAUUGAAGUAUUAAACAGUAUAUUGUCUACUGUCUAUGGAGAGGGCCCUGUGGCCAGGAGCUGGGUAUGUCCUCUAAAAGCUGAAAGUGUCUCCAGCCAAUCCCCAGUCAGAACCUCAGUCAAAUAGCCACAAGCAAAUGAAUUCUACCAACCAGCAGCAUGAGAAAGGAAGUAGAUGCUUCCUCAUUCAAACCUCCAGAUGAGGACACAGCAUGGCUGAUCAUCUAACUGCAGUGUGACUCUAAGGGACAAGUUUAAGAAUCCAAUGUGAAGGAAAGAGGACAACUCAACAGCACAGUUGAUGUUGAAGAACGUGAGCUGCAAUUGUGCUCACUCAGAGUUAAUGCAGAGGUGACCGGGAAAGGAAGGAUCAUAUGUGCCUUCUUGCCAUUGCCCUGGCACAGACUGACCUUAAACAUUUAAACCUUCUGAGCUAUCAGAGCUGAGACCUGGAAACUGUAAACUCAGCAAUGGGCCACCUUUAGGAGCAGCAGAGAACACCUGGACAUGUGACAGAGAGGGACGGCUGAGCUCAAGUACAAAAGCAUUCAAGCAACCAUCCUAAAACAUCUCUUCAUCAGAAUGAAUGAAAAUGUUCACCAAAUUGUCAACAGAAACAAUUCUAAUGGAGAAAAUUAUAAACUUACCCGCAUCAUCUGA